GACGAACGCUGGCGGCGUGCCUAAUACAUGCAAGUCGAACGAGUGGCGGACGGGUGAGUAACACGUGGGCACCUACCCAUCAGAGGGGGAUAACUACUGGAAACGGUGGCUAAUACAGCAUACUAUAGGAUGAACCCAUAUGGGAUUAGCUAGUAGGGUGGGUAAAGGCUCACCUCGGCGCCGAUCUCUCGCUGGUCUGAGAGUAUGAUCAGCCACACUGGGACGGUGCAACGGACCAUAUUCCUACGAGAGGCAGCAGUGGGGAAUAUUGCACAAUGGGCGCAAGCCUUAUGAAGCCAUGCCGCGUGUAUGAAGAAGGCCGUAGGGUUGUAAAGUACUUUCAGCGGGGAGGCGUUACCCGCAGAAGAAGCACCGGCUAACUCCGUGCCAGCAGCCGCGGUAAUAC
rnacentral:rRNA from 1 species